rnacentral:rRNA from 1 species
GGGACGAACAGUUGGAAACGACUGCUAAUACCGCAUACGAUCCAAUCUCGGCAUCGAGACUGGAUGAAAGGUGGCCUCUAUUUAUAAGCUAUCACUGAAGGAGGGGAUUGCGUCUGAUUAGCUAGUUGGAGGGGUAACGGCCCACCAAGGCGAUGAUCAGUAGCCGGUCUGAGAGGAUGAACGGCCACAUUGGGACUGAGACACGGCCCAG